UACGUAGGGGGCGAGCGUUGUCCGGAGUACUGGGCGUAAAGCGCACGCAGGCGGUCUGUUAAGUUUGGAGUGACAGUUGGUGGCUCAACCACCAAAGUGCUUUGAAAACUGAUAGACUUGAGGGCUUCAGAGGGACACGGAAUUCCGGGUGGAGUGGUGAAAUGCGUAGAGAUCCGGAGGAACACCAGAGGCGAAGGCGGCUCGCUGGGCUUUGACUGAC
rnacentral:rRNA from 1 species